rnacentral:rRNA from 1 species
UACGUAGGGGGCAAGCGUUGUCCGGAUUUAUUGGGCGUAAAGAGCGUGUAGGCGGCUAGAUAGGUCCGUUGUGAAAACUCGAGGCUCAACCUCGAGACGUCGAUGGAAACCAUCUGGCUAGAGUCCGGAAGAGGAGAGUGGAAUUCCUGGUGUAGCGGUGAAAUGCGCAGAUAUCAGGAAGAACACCCGUGGCGAAGGCGGCUUUCUGGGACGGUACUGACGCUGAGACGCGAAAGCGUGGGGAGCGAACAGG